rnacentral:rRNA from 1 species
CGAGCGGAACGAGUUAUCUGAACCUUCGGGGAACGAUAACGGCGUCGAGCGGCGGACGGGUGAGUAAUGCCUAGGAAAUUGCCCUGAUGUGGGGGAUAACCAUUGGAAACGAUGGCUAAUACCGCAUGAUGCCUACGGGCCAAAGAGGGGGACCUUCGGGCCUCUCGCGUCAGGAUAUGCCUAGGUGGGAUUAGCUAGUUGGUGAGGUAAGGGCUCACCAAGGCGACGAUCCCUAGCUGGUCUGAGAGGAUGAUCAGCCACACUGGAACUGAGACACGGUCCAGACUCCUACGGGAGGCAGCAGUGGGGAAUAUUGCACAAUGGGCGCAAGCCUGAUGCAGCCAUGCCGCGUGUGUGAAGAAGGCCUUCGGGUUGUAAAGCACUUUCAGUCGUGAGGAAGGUAGUGUAGUUAAUAGCUGCAUUAUUUGACGUUAGCGACAGAAGAAGCACCGGCUAACUCCGUGCCAGCAGCCGCGGUAAUACGGAGGGUGCGAGCGUUAAUCGGAAUUACUGGGCGUAAAGCGCAUGCAGGUGGUUUGUUAAGUCAGAUGUGAAAGCCCGGGGCUCAACCUCGGAAUAGCAUUUGAAACUGGCAGACUAGAGUACUGUAGAGGGGGGUAGAAUUUCAGGUGUAGCGGUGAAAUGCGUAGAGAUCUGAAGGAAUACCGGUGGCGAAGGCGGCCCCCUGGACAGAUACUGACACUCAGAUGCGAAAGCGUGGGGAGCAAACAGGAUUAGAUACCCUGGUAGUCCACGCCGUAAACGAUGUCUACUUGGAGGUUGUGGCCUUGAGCCGUGGCUUUCGGAGCUAACGCGUUAAGUAGACCGCCUGGGGAGUACGGUCGCAAGAUUAAAACUCAAAUGAAUUGACGGGGGCCCGCACAAGCGGUGGAGCAUGUGGUUUAAUUCGAUGCAACGCGGAAGAACCUUACCUACUC